GGGCCUAUAGCUCAGUCGGUUAGAGCGCUACACUGAUAAUGUAGAGGUCGGUGGUUCGAGUCCACCUAGGCCCA
rnacentral:tRNA from 1 species